rnacentral:ncRNA from 1 species
CACCGAAUGGAAGAGCAAUCGCUCAACGGAUAAAAGCUACCCUGAGGAUAACAGGCUUAUCUCCCCCAAGAGUCCACAUCGACGGGGAGGUUUGCACCUCGAUGUCGGCUCGUCUCAUCCUGGAACUGAAGUAGGUUCCAAUGGUUGGGUUGUUCGCCGACUAAAGAGGCACGCGAGUUGGUUCAGAACGUCGUGAGACGGUUCGAUCCCUAUCCGUCGUGGGUGUAGGAAAUUUGAGAGGAGUUGUCACGCCAGUGGCAUGUCUGAGUACCUAAGUCUGGAAAGAAUAAGUGCUGAAGGCAUGAAGUCUCCCUCAAGAUAAGAUUUCCCAUAGGGUUAACCUAGUAAGAUCCCAGGAAGACUACCUGAUAGAUAGGUCACAGGUGUAAGGGCAGCAAUGUCUUCAGCUUAGUGAUACUAAUAGAGG